rnacentral:piRNA from 1 species
UUCACUUCCUAAAGUGUUUUUUGCUGUGAUA